GCACCCGUGGAGCGAGGACGUGUUCCGGCAUACAUGAUUGCUGGGGGUUGUUUGCCAUUUUGGUCGCCAGGUGGCGUGGGCGUCUCUGCCCUCCCAGUGUUGUUCCGUGCCUGGCUGCGUGCUGACGUGGCAGUUCUGUCAUUUGGCCUUGCAAUUCCUCCUGUUCUGCGGUUCACUCUUCAAGCGACAACGUUGUCCAUCCAACACCUUCCUGUCUUAAAGAUACUCCGGCUUCCAUUCGCCUCUCAGCCCCCAGCUUAAGUCUGUCUUAAAGGCCACGGCAAACUGGACACUCCAUCCUGUGGAAUACCCGAUACAUGAAGCAAGGGCUGGUACGAACUACCGCUUCUGUGAAUACCGAUACCUACAGCUGGUAUCAAACUACUCCUGAUAGUCUUACCAGAGACUUCCAGCUACUUAGUAUCAGAUAAGGAUAGACUUAAUGCAGAGCGUUAUAGCCAGAAGUGGGAUCCAGUUCAUGUGGGCAACGAGCGAGGCACGAGGACCUGGAGGUGGCCAUCAUGUACACUGUCCUCCAACUGGUGUCACACUGAAAAGCUCGAGCGACCACAGCCAGACAACAGGAAAGGCGAUGAGGACAGUCUCGGGGUACUGGAGAACGUCUAACAGCGACGUAAGUGGCAAGACAUUGCCUGUCACCACGCCAAGUCUGUCAUCUGUGACGCCAGCCUUUAUUUUUAGCCACAAAAUGGCUAGUUUCCUGAAUGGUGAAGUUGUAAAAUAUUCAAGAUUAUUAGCUGGUUUAAAUUAAUAUCUUAAUGCUUAAGUGUCUACAGAACUUGCUACUUAGGAGCUGAAGUGUCGUAGUUAAGAAUUAAUUCUAAUAGAAUUACUCUAACUUAAGGAAAGCUAUUAAGGGCUUGACUUCAGUGUCACAAUGACAUUGGAACAAUGCAGGGGGGGAUACAUGUAAACACCCCCCCCCCCCACCACCGACCAGUGUGUAGGUGGAUUACUUGUAAAGUCAUUAGGAAUAUGUGCAGAAUAAUAAACCCCAGUGUUAGAAAAAUACUGUAAAACUGUUCAAAAUAUUUCCCAACCCCCAUUUUGCACCCACAAGUACUUAAAGAUUGAUAUUUUGUUCUUGUUUGACAAAGAUCUUCACUUGACUGUUACAUGUAAAGUCCCAGCUGUGUCUGGGUAGAAGUGACAGGAUGAACAACCCAGCGGGUUAUCUUCCUAUUGGGGAGUGUUGUACAUGCUGCUAUGGCGGUGUGUCCACUCACAGGAUGAGUGGCGCUGCCCAAUACUGUCACUAUGGCGGUGUGUCCGCUCACAGGAUGAGUGGCGCUGCCCAAUAAACUCGCCCCUCGGGGCACAAACUAACCUGAUUGUGCCAACAUUUUUGAACCUCGCUCCCAGUGACCUCACUAGGUAUCUUAAGUUUUGUCCUGUUUGGCAUAUCUGGAAGAACAUGCCAAACAAUGUUUCUUCCAGUAUAUCUGGAAGAAACUUGAACGCUGGCUAGACUCUCUAGUCUUCUAAUACAUUUUACAGGUUAUUGUAUUAACACAUUUUAACAAGGCAACUAAAUGACUUCCUUAGUUGCCUAAUUUUUCUAUCCACAGAACUGUAUUCUAUAUUGCGACAGAGUAGAGUAAUAAAUCUCUACUCGUACAUAUUUAUACAUGGAAUAGAUUAUAGAUUUCCAUCUUGUGAAGAUAAUGGGGGGGGGAGAAGUUUUGCUAUAGCAAGACGUAGAAUUGUUUAAUUUGGAACAAAAGAAUGAUUCGCGCAUGUUCGGUGUUGAGCUUGUUCCAUCUCGAUUUAAAUUGUGAACUACGAUUUUUCCUUUAGUAAUGGAUAUCCUAUUUACUUUAUGGUGAUUUUCUACUGUAAAAAAAUAGCAAAGAUGAGUGCCACAAAUGGCCUGGCAACAAAAGCGUAAUUACAAUUAUUUAACCUAUACCUAUAAUAGGUUAAGUAUAAUAAUUAAU
rnacentral:lncRNA from 1 species